rnacentral:rRNA from 1 species
AUGGGCCUACGGGAGGCAGCAGUGGGGAAUAUUGCACAAUGGGGGAAACCCUGAUGCAGCGACGCCGCGUGAGUGAAGAAGUAAUUCGUUACGUAAAGCUCUAUCAGCAGGGAAGAGAAUGACGGUACCUGAGUAAGAAGCCCCGGCUAACUACGUGCCAGCAGCCGCGGUAAUACGUAGGGGGCAAGCGUUAUCCGGAUUUACUGGGUGUAAAGGGAGCGUAGACGGCAUUGCAAGUCUGAUGUGAAAGAUUGGGGCUCAACCCCAGGCCUGCAUUGGAAACUGUAAAGCUGGAGUACAGGAGG